UACGUAGGCAGCAAGCGUUGUUCGGAGUUACUGGGCGUAAAGGGUGUGUAGGCGGUUGUUUUAAGUUUGGUGUGAAAUCUCCCGGCUCAACUGGGAGGGUGCGCCGAAUACUGAAUGACUCGAGUGCGGGAGAGGAAAGUGGAAUUCCUGGUGUAGCGGUGAAAUGCGUAGAUAUCAGGAGGAACACCGGUGGUGUAGACGGCUUUCUGGACCGUAACUGACGCUGAGACACGAAAGCGUGGGUAGCAAACAGG
rnacentral:rRNA from 1 species